UUUUUUAUUAAUUUUUAAUUCUAAUAAGUUUUUUUUGCUUUUAUUAUGUUUGGAUUUAAAGUUAUUUGCUGGGCUCUGCUCUUUAUCUUUAAUUAAACUAAGAUUUCCUCCUGGUGUAUCAAUUGCCACCACUGGAAUAACAUCUAGCGAAGACGGUACACACGUAAAAACGCACAAGUUUGUUACAAGGCUGUUCACAAGCUGUUAACAAGAUGUAUUCGCACUGCUUGUCACAAGUUGUCAACAUGUUUGGAACAACUUGUUGACAACUUGUAACAACCUUGUCGAAAU